rnacentral:misc_RNA from 1 species
CUUGUGAUAAGUAUCAACACAAAACUGAAACUGAGAAAUGUUAUGAAAAAUAUUUAUGAGCAGUGCACAUAUGUUCCACUAGUAAUACAUCAUGUACAAUACAAAAUAGACAUUUUCCUCGCAGAAAACCGAACUCAUGCGUUUAUCGAUAAUGUAAUGAUACGUGUUGUUUGUUCCCCUAUCUUGAUCUCGGACGGGAGGCACAGCGUUUACUUACUGCUGCAGGCACAAAAUGCCGUUUCCUUUACGAAUAAAAAGCAAUGAAAAAUGUGGAUAUCCUGAGCACGGAAAAUCGGAUAAGUGGAAAAGUCAUAGUCGAUUGGAAUCGGCGAGAAAUGAUCCGGUAAGUAAAAGCGAACGUAGAACGAAAUGUGAAAGCUGUAUUCCAUCUGUGAUUCCUUACCGUCUACGGUCCGAUUGUGAUCGUGGUGGACAGAUGACUGAUACAUCGGUUUCCAGGCGAGGCUGCUCCUCGUCUGUAACAUCGUAUAGUGAAAAUUCGAGUAACUUCUGCUCUUCUUCGACAAACUCCUCUGAGGAAAUACUCCAUACCGCUGAAUACUUACAUGGCAUACAAUGUAGAACGAAGAGAGUCGAACGCAUUCCACCUUUUCUCCUUAAACCGCCCAUUUCUCCCAAACCCGAUUUUCACCUGUAUAUUUCCUCCCAGAAAAAUCGGCCUAAAUCGUUAUGCAGUAAAACGAGAGCUGCCACGAAGAGUGACGACAGCCUUACCGCAUACGAGAAGUCUUCUAUUUUGUGUCCGGAUAUUGAAGUGAUCAGGGUGCCGAGCACGUCUCGCCACAUCGAAGCCGGAAGACAGAAAUUCAGGAGAACCUGCAGUGAAGAACGAGUGUCGUUUCAGGAAGAAUGGUUGAGGCCGAAGUUCACCAAUACGUUAGCAGAUACGGCUUACACCGAUCGACAGAACUUCAGUCCAUUGGACGAAAGGUCCCGCAUUCCGUCUCCUCCGAACCGAAACGAACACCAGUUGACUAUUCGUGAAAACAGAACUGUCUGUGAUGAACGGUUAAAUCAAUACAGCCGCAUAGAAAACAGAAAUGUCGAAGAUCGUUCUGAGCCAAAGGCGUGUGGGUUGAGUGAAUUCACGCCUCCGCCGGAAUUCUGCGACGAUCGACUCUUUUUACUUUCGAUACUCCCAACGUUAAAAAAGAUGGAUUACGACAGUAAAAUUAACGCCAAGGUCGAAAUGAUGAACACUCUUCAAAAAGCGGCGGCAUCUCCACUUCGGCACCAGGUACAACAGCCCACGUCGGUCUCUCCUUCUUCUCCGUCGAGAUCACCAGACAGGAGUCUGUUUUACGGAUUGCAAAAUCUUAAAGAAUCCUACAAAGAACUGUGUUCGCGUCUACAAAGACUUCAAUAAAUAAAUUUGACACGAUUGACGAUUCACUGAUAAACAUCGGAUUUGUGAUUUCUCUUACAAACUAUAUUAAAAUUAAAUAUAACAAAUUUUAAUGUUAACGCACUCAAAGAACAUAACGGUUAAGAAAACAUGUGUUAAAAUAAUCAAACCGUCGAACUACGUACAGAUUAUAUUGGUAAAAUCAUGAUGACACUUUAAUCGCACUAAUAUGUCUUAAAAAAUAAGUCUAUAAGUUUUACAGUGUUGUUGAUCUUAGUUCUUGUUGUAUUAUUUAUUUUUUGUUUUUAAUAUUGUUUCUUUGCUUUCAUACAAAAAAAAACUUCAAAACCUUUAAUACAAAAUUGUACAUAAAAUACUAUUUUAAAAUCCUACUAUGAAAAUGAUAAAUAUAGGUGGUUUUAUAGUCGGCAAUAUUUUCCUUAUUUUGCCUGAAUAUUUUAUUUUGAUAACGGCCAGAUGAUAAUGUUCGGGACAAAAGCAUGUAGCAAGCCAAAUUGAUAGACUUGUCAGAGUUCCUGCGGCAAGAUGUCAAGAAAAAUCAGCAAGACUAAAAGCCCGGAAAGAUCCCAACAGGACGAUGAUCUGGAUUCUGAUUCUAACAGUUUAACAAAAACUGAUGAGAGUGGUAAACAGGGUAACUAUUCUUAUGUACGAGGCACUCAAAGUGAUUCACCUAGAAAAAAACAUUCAUUAUUAAAUUCGGAAAAAAGUUCAUCAAAAACUGAGAAGGAUACAUACAUUACUUCACCGACUAAAAACACAACUCUAAAGACAUCGAAAAAAGCCAGUAGUCACAAAUAUCAUGAAAAAGAACCAUCGACCAAAAGGGAAGGACAUGCAGAUUCUGCGACUACGAUAGCAUUUGAUUCUGAAUUGGAGCACUCAUCAGAAGAAUCUCAGGAAGAUGAACCGGAAUCUUCAGCCAAGAAAAGUCAUUCCCACAAAGAAGAGACACUUGAUAAUCCAAGAAGUAAAUUUAUUCCCGAACAAAAAAAAACGGGGUACGAUAAAAGAAAGAAAUCUCCAAAAACUAGACAGGCCCAUGAAAAACAGUAUGAUAACAAAAAGAAACAUACCAAGAAAAAAUCACUAGAAGAUGACAAUAGAAAGAAACCAUUAGAAAAGCCAUACAACGUCAAAUGUAAAUUCAACACCUGUCAAUGCCAUGAAGAACUUCAACCCAAAACCGAUGCAAAACAAGGGCAAGAUAAAUUAGUUUUAUGUGUACCAUGCGAACAAGAUCAAAAACAUGAAAAAUCAAACUUCAAGUUUGUCACUUCUUCAAAUGAUAUGAAGCAACUUCGCCCAAUACACUAUUGCUGCUAUGUCCAAACAGAAGAAAAACAAGAAAAUGAAAAAAGAGUUCCGAUGAACAAUAAUCUUCCAUUGCAUGCUUCAAAGUCAGAUGGAUUUAGAAGAGGUCCUCAAAAUGACGAUUUAAUGUUUAUAUUUGAUCGAAAAACUCUUCCACACUCAGACCCCUUUCCAUUACAGAAAAUAUGUCAAGAACGGCAGGCAGACAUUAUUGAUGUAAAUAAGGUUAGAAAAUGCACUACAAGGAGAGUUCCGGCAGGAUACAAUUCUUUAGAAGAGAGACAAUAUUCGAUGGAACCUAUCAGAGAAAGACCAACAAUAUCUAAAAUUAACGUGUGCUCUCGAGAAGAACACUUUGAACCCAAAGGAUACAAGAGUGCACAAAGUAUCGAGAACGACAGUAAAGAAGAUGAAGAUAAACUCUUUUUACUUUCUAUGCUGCCUACACUGAAAAAGCUAAACGAUCCUAUUAAAAUGGAUGUAAAAAUAGAAAUCAUGCAAAUUAUGCAACGAUCAGUUUACCCGAAUUUACAAUAUGGUGACUUCUAUCCCAUAGAAAGAUGCAUGUAAAACUUUAUGACAAAAAAAAAACGCAGAAAACGUAUUGCCAAAUAGAUUAACAUAAUUUGGCAGUUCUUGGUCAAAGUAGGCUUUCUUUGCAAUUUUAUCUGUUUUGAAAGUGUUUUAUUUCUUCGUGUUAUUCUAUACUCACCACUCUUAUUAUAAUCAGAUGUUAAAGGGAAAAUAAGAACUCAUAAUGAAAAUGACAUUUUAAAGUAUGUUUUAAUUUAUGAAAAUAACAAUAAAUACUUUUUUUCUCAA